GCGUGAAGUUUUUUUUUCCUUUUUAUAUUACAACAUGGUUUUUAAGCUUGCUAACGAGAUUGAAAAUGCAGGAUAUACAGGGAAAUGAGGUACCUUUGAGCAAUUAUAGGGGAAAGGUUCUUCUUAUUUUCAAUGUUGCAUCAAAAUGGUUUUGAAAUUUUAGCAUUUCUUUGUAACCAGUUCCUGUGGCAAGAACCCGGAACAAAUGAGGAGAUUCAGCAAACUGUAUGCACUAGGUUCAAAGCUGAAUUCCCUGUAUUUGAAAAGGCAACUGAGGAAGCUCAACAUCUAAAAAAGUUGAUAUAAGACUAUAUUGCUUCGUUCAUCAAAGUAGGAGAUACGGUUGGUGCUUCUAAAUUUCUAAAGUUCACGUACAAUUGUUUUCAAUAAUGUGUUUGUGUCCAUCUAGUAUUGAUACUUAACUUUAAAUUUACAACUAAUAUAUUUGGUAAGCAUAAGUACCAACACUAGUUGAUCCUAUUGAUAACAAAAUUGAUUUUCUUGCAAGAUCGAUUUGUGUCCAUCUAGUGUUGUUAUUAAGCUUUAAUUUAGUAAAAAUGUGUUUGUUAAGCAUAAGUAUCAACACUAGUUGAUCCUAUAGAUGACAAAAUUGAUUUUCUUGCAAGAUCGAUUUGUGUCCAUCUAGUGUUGACACUUAGCUUUAA